UUUAGUGAUCAAUUUAGAGUUGCUCGUGAUGGUUCAUGCCAGUAAUUCCAGUACUCGGAAGGCUGAGGCAGGAAGAUUUGAAGACGGCACAUGGAGACCCAGUCCAAAAAAAUGAAAAAGACCACGUGGUGAAAGGUGCUAAGGACUGACCCCAAGACUUCAAGCAAGCUAGGCAAGUGCUCUACCACUGAGUCAUUCAGGCCCUUACAGCGCCCUCAGGAGCCUCAACUGAAGAAUAAGGACUCGGUAUGGGGGUAAGGAGAGUACUUGCCUGGCAUGCAUAAAGCCCCGAGUUCAACCUGCAGCAUGCAGAGGGAAAAAAAAGUCUGUGGGCCAAUCCCCAAUCUCCUGAACUACAAUCAGGAUGGGCCAAGGUGAAUGCUGAGGAGACUUCGUCCUCCUCAUCUGUAUCGCUGUCGAUCACCAUGGAUGUGUGGUUUCUCUCUUGAGGGACAGUCAGUGGCACCUUGCCCUCCUCCACAUCUGUGUCACUACCGG